AGGAUAAUUAAGCCCAAGGCCCUUCAAAGCCUUAAGCAGGAGUUAAAAUCUCGUAGCCCAUG
rnacentral:tRNA from 1 species